rnacentral:rRNA from 1 species
AGCGGCGGACGGGUGAGUAAUGCCUAGGAAUCUGCCUGGUAGUGGGGGACAACGUUUCGAAAGGAACGCUAAUACCGCAUACGUCCUACGGGAGAAAGCAGGGGACCUUCGGGCCUUGCGCUAUCAGAUGAGCCUAGGUCGGAUUAGCUAGUUGGUGAGGUAAUGGCUCACCAAGGCGACGAUCCGUAACUGGUCUGAGAGGAUGAUCAGUCACACUGGAACUGAGACACGGUCCAGACUCCUACGGGAGGCAGCAGUGGGGAAUAUUGGACAAUGGGCGAAAGCCUGAUCCAGCCAUGCCGCGUGUGUGAAGAAGGUCUUCGGAUUGUAAAGCACUUUAAGUUGGGAGGAAGGGCAUUAACCUAAUACGUUAGUGUUUUGACGUUACCGACAGAAUAAGCACCGGCUAACUCUGUGCCAGCAGCCGCGGUAAUACAGAGGGUGCAAGCGUUAAUCGGAAUUACUGGGCGUAAAGCGCGCGUAGGUGGUUUGUUAAGUUGGAUGUGAAAGCCCCGGGCUCAACCUGGGAACUGCAUUCAAAACUGACAAGCUAGAGUAUGGUAGAGGGUGGUGGAAUUUCCUGUGUAGCGGUGAAAUGCGUAGAUAUAGGAAGGAACACCAGUGGCGAAGGCGACCACCUGGACUGAUACUGACACUGAGGUGCGAAAGCGUGGGGAGCAAACAGGAUUAGAUACCCUGGUAGUCCACGCCGUAAACGAUGUCAACUAGCCGUUGGGAGCCUUGAGCUCUUAGUGGCGCAGCUAACGCAUUAAGUUGACCGCCUGGGGAGUACGGCCGCAAGGUUAAAACUCAAAUGAAUUGACGGGGGCCCGCACAAGCGGUG